rnacentral:rRNA from 1 species
UACGUAGGGGGCUAGCGUUAUCCGGAAUUACUGGGCGUAAAGGGUGCGUAGGUGGUUUCUUAAGUCAGAGGUGAAAGGCUACGGCUCAACCGUAGUAAGCCUUUGAAACUGGGAAACUUGAGUGCAGGAGAGGAGAGUGGAAUUCCUAGUGUAGCGGUGAAAUGCGUAGAUAUUAGGAGGAACACCAGUUGCGAAGGCGGCUCUCUGGACUGUAACUGACGUUGAGGCUCGAAAGCGUGGGGAGCAAACAGG